AUGCUUGCUGAUUUGGAUGACACAAGCAAAGAUGACAGCAAGGCUCCCUAUCCUCCUGGUGGAAUCUGCUGUGCUCACCUCUGUAGAAAGAGAGUAAAUAUCUGCUAUAUUGUGCAUUACUAUCAUUUUUUUCUUCAACUUAAUUGA
rnacentral:lncRNA from 1 species